AGGGCGGUAGUUCAAUGGUAGAACGGCGGUCUCCAAAACCGCUAAUGGGGGUUCGAUUCCUCUCCGCCCUG
rnacentral:tRNA from 1 species